GGUGGGAGGCUUUGAAGUGUGGACGCCAGUCUGCAUGGAGCCGACCUUGAAAUACCACCCUUUAAUGUUUGAUGUUCUAACGUUGACCCGUAAUCCGGGUUGCGGACAGUGUCUGGUGGGUAGUUUGACUGGGGCGGUCUCCUCCUAAAGAGUAACGGAGGAGCACGAAGGUUGGCUAAUCCUGGUCGGACAUCAGGAGGUUAGUGCAAUGGCAUAAGCCAGCUUGACUGCGAGCGUGACGGCGCGAGCAGGUGCGAAAGCAGGUCAUAGUGAUCCGGUGGUUCUGAAUGGAAGGGCCAUCGCUCAACGGAUAAAAGGUACUCCGGGGAUAACAGGCUGAUACCGCCCAAGAGUUCAUAUCGACGGCGGUGUUUGGCACCUCGAUGUCGGCUCAUCACAUCCUGGGGCUGAAGUAGGUCCCAAGGGUAUGGCUGUUCGCCAUUUAAAGUGGUACGCGAGCUGGGUUUAGAACGUCGUGAGACAGUUCGGUCCCUAUCUGCCGUGGGCGCUGGAGAACUGAGGGGGGCUGCUCCUAGUACGAGAGGACCGGAGUGGACGCAUCACUGGUGUUCGGGUUGUCAUGCCAAUGGCACUGCCCGGUAGCUAAAUGCGGAAGAGAUAAGUGCUGAAAGCAUCUAAGCACGAAACUUGCCCCGAGAUGAGUUCUCCCUGACUCCUUGAGAGUCCUGAAGGAACGUUGAAGACGACGACGUUGAUAGGCCGGGUGUGUAAGCGCAGCGAUGCGUUGAGCUAACCGGUACUAAUGAACCGUGAGG
rnacentral:rRNA from 1 species